rnacentral:rRNA from 1 species
UACGGAGGGUGCAAGCGUUAUCCGGAUUUACUGGGUUUAAAGGGUGUGUAGGCGGAUAUUUAAGUCAGAAGUGAAAUCUCCGGGCUCAACCCGGAAACUGCCUUUGAUACUAUUUAUCUUGAAUUUCGUUGAGGUUGGCGGAAUAUAUCAUGUAGCGGUGAAAUGCAUAGAUAUGAUAUAGAACACCGAUUGCGUAGGCAGCUGGCUGAACGAACAUUGACGCUGAGGCACGAAAGCGUGGGUAGCGAACAGG